UACGUAGGGUGCGAGCGUUGUCCGGAAUUAUUGGGCGUAAAGAGCUCGUAGGCGGUGUGUCGCGUCGGCCGUGAAAACCUGGGGCUCAACUCUGGGCGUGCGGUCGAUACGGGCAUCACUUGAGUUCGGCAGGGGAGACUGGAAUUCCUGGUGUAGCGGUGAAAUGCGCAGAUAUCAGGAGGAACACCGGUGGCGAAGGCGGGUCUCGUGGGCAGUGACUGACGCUGAGGCGCGGACAGCGUGGGGGAGCAAACAGG
rnacentral:rRNA from 1 species